GCCUGUGUAAUGAAGCCUCCAUAAAAACCCAAAAGGACGGGGUUCGGAGAGCUUGCAGGUUAGUGAAGCCGUGAAGGUGCUGAGCGGUGCGCCUGGGGAGGGCGUGGAAGCUCUGUGCCCCUCCCCUUCCCUCGCCCUAUGCAUCUCUUCCACGUGGCUGUUCCCGAGUUAUGUCCUUUUAUAAUAAACCAGUGACCUGUUGUGCUCUGCCCAAGGGUGCCAGGCUGGGGAGCAAGUGGAGGCUGAAAUCUUCAGGACAGCAUCUCUCAGAGGGGCCAGCAUUCUCACAAAGGAUCCCAUCCAGGAUGCCACGGCACAUUUUGUUCUCCUCUUGGCUAUGAUCAUGUUUAUGGUGACCUUGACAGUUUUGAGGAGUACAGGUCAGAUAUUAGGUAGAACGUUCCUCAAUUGAGAUUUGUCUGAUGUUUUUGUCAUAAUUAUACUGGGACGACGGGUUAUGGGGAGACAGAUCACAGAGGUAAAUGCCAUAUUCAUCACAUUAUACCAAGAGUUUAUGAUUUAUAAUUUGAUUUGAUGUAAGAUUAUUGGUUUUGAUUUGGGUCACCUGGCUGAGAUAGUGUUUGUCAGGUUCUCCACAAUAAAAUUACUCUUUUCCCCCCAUUUUGAUACUGUACUAUUUAGAAAGGAGUCAGUAUACACAGCCCACACUUAAGGAGUGAGGAAUUAUGCCCUUGUUACUUUUUGAGGUUAUUGUAUUUAUUCGUUUGAUUAUGUGUUUUGGAUGACUGUUUCUGGGCUAACCGAUAGCCAUUCUCAGCUUCCUUCUUUCCUGCUCCUUCCAAGUAGAUGCAGGAAGGUCAGGUGCCUAUUUUCCUCAUCUCCUUCCUGACAAUGACACAGAAGGAAGUCAGUCUUCUGGUAUGUUUUGGGGAAGGCUUUUACUUUCCUCACAAAAGAGGUACAUACUGUUGUUCUACUGUUUCCUUCUUCUUUCUGCUUUGAAAAUGGAAUUCUGGAGCUGCUGUGGCCAUUUUGUGACUAUGAGCGACAAGCAUGAUGUCAAAAAGUCAACGUGAUAAAGAUACCAGAGCAGAAAUACAGAAAGAUCCCGGAUCCUUGAUGGCAACUGGUGCCAGCAACCACCUACCUUUGGACUUCAUGUCGUGUGAGAAGACUUUAAGCCACUGCUAGUGGGGUUUCUAGUUUUUGCAGCUCAAAGUAUUCUUAACUAAGAUAUUUCUUUCAUACUUUCUUCUAAAAAUGAAGUUCUCUAAGGACAGAGACCUUGUCUGUCUUGUUUAUUGUUCUGUUUCCAGUGGCUAACAUAUAGUAGAUACUCAGUAUGUUCUUGUUGAACGAAUGAAGAGAUGAAUGAUAGUUUAAGGAGAGGUAGGGUCUCAGGAAAGAUUUUUUUAAGAGUUAGGGAGACCAUGGCAUAUUCGUAGGAUAAUGAGAAGGCACCAGAUGAGAGAAAGAGA